rnacentral:sRNA from 1 species
AUGGACGUCGCGCAGGAAGCGCCGAGUAACCAAAAGGGACACGCUGGAUAGCCGCCAGGAUGGUGCGCAGAUCACGGAUGUCAGGACUCAGUCUGCAAGGCCCCGCACUCGCGGGGUUUU